rnacentral:snoRNA from 1 species
UCGGCCCCUUGGAUGAAUCCACUACGGAUGUAAAAGUCCUUUUCUUUUCAAACCGUUUUCCGAGAGCGCAAACCUUGUGGAACUUUCCGUCACCGUCCCUCUGAUUAUAGUCC